rnacentral:lncRNA from 1 species
CUUUAAAAAGAGCAGUAUUUUUCACAUUAGGACUUCCCCUGAACAUAAGCAAGGUGAGGGUCAUUUUGAUGACCUUACAUCUAUGUUUAAGGAUCAGCUACAGAACUGUGGGUGUCGGAAAUCUGUUGAGUGUCUUCGAGCUAUAAUACAUGACAUUUUUAUUGCAGGUUUUGACCUUUCUAUAGAGAACUGAUUCUGGAGAACAACUUAACUUCUGUGAUUGAAAACCCCUGUGUUCUACGUGAAAAGAGAUGGGAGAUUAAGGCUAUAACAGUUAACAUAGGCUGUACUGGUACUAUGUGAUAACAACUUGUUGGCCUCAAUUGAACAAGCAUUCUUGUCCCCUGAAGGAUGGACAAAUGGGCUGGAGAAUGAUUGUUAAGAGGAGGUUAUAUGACUGGUUAUUCAAAGAAAGAGGACUUUCCCGUUCUGAAUACAUGCCACCACUAUUCAUGGGUGGGAAAGAAUUGGUAGGAGUUUUUUAUCCAGGGCUUCAAGUGAGACUUCACAGUAUUUCUGAAGUAACUCUUAAGAGAGCUUGGUUCCUCUUUGGCUCACUGAAAAGGAUUCCUGCAUGCUGAGUCUGUGAUGCUACAAGGAAUCAUUUCAGAGAAUUACAAGGAUUCUUGUUGGCAUUGCCACUGUCCCAAGCUUUAAGUCUCAAGUAAGUAUCUCAACUUAACCAAAAUAGCCCUGUAAUUUCAGCUGUUUUUAUGGUUGGUUUGGAUUACACUAUAAUUGUUUAAUAAAUUACAUCAAUGUAGUCUCA